GACGAACGCUGGCGGCGUGCCUAAUACAUGCAAGUUGAGCGCUGAAGGUUGGUACUUGUACCGACUGGAUGAGCAGCGAACGGGUGAGUAACGCGUGGGGAAUCUGCCUUUGAGCGGGGGACAACAUUUGGAAACGAAUGCUAAUACCGCAUAAAAACUUUAAACACAAGUUUUAAGUUUGAAAGAUGCAAUUGCAUCACUCAAAGAUGAUCCCGCGUUGUAUUAGCUAGUUGGUGAGGUAGAGGCUCACCAAGGCGAUGAUACAUAGCCGACCUGAGAGGGUGAUCGGCCACAUUGGGACUGAGACACGGCCCAAACUCCUACGGGAGGCAGCAGUAGGGAAUCUUCGGCAAUGGACGAAAGUCUGACCGAGCAACGCCGCGUGAGUGAAGAAGGUUUUCGGAUCGUAAAACUCUGUUGGUAGAGAAGAACGUUGGUGAGAGUGGAAAGCUCAUCAAGUGACGGUAACUACCCAGAAAGGGACGGCUAACUACGUG
rnacentral:rRNA from 1 species